rnacentral:lncRNA from 1 species
GCCCUUGAGGUCCACUUUGGGCAUCUUGAAACUGGGCAUCUGCACCUUGGGCAGGUGCCCUUUGAGGCUGGCUCCCUCAGGCAGGGGGCCCUCCGAGAGUUUCAUGUCCACUUGGCCGUCCUGGACCUCCAGGUGAGCGGAAGGGGUCUGAACACUGAGGUCAGUAGUCUUGAGGUCCCCCUGCAUGGAGGGGAGGCUCACGUCGGCCUCCACCUUCAGCGCAGACACAUCCACCGAGGCCUCCAUGGACUUGACUGGGGCUGAAGCCCCAAACGAUGGCAUCUUGAACUUGGGCAUUUUGAACUUGCUGUCUUUGGUGGCCACUUCCUUUUCUUUCAGAAUUUGUUCCUUUUUUAAGCGUUUUUCGUCGUGUAUUAGUUGUAUUUUUGUUGUGUUUUGUCAUUGAGUCACUGUCUUCUUUGUCUUUUAAUCCUUCCUCUGUGCGUCUCUGUUCUCUUCUAUCAGCUGUUGCUGUGGCCUCUCCUUCCUUUCCCUGCUCUGUGUCUUCUGUGGCUUUUUCUCUGCCUGUCUUUGUGUGCUUGCUUGGCGACCAUCCUAAGGAGGGUAUCUUGAACUUGGGCAUUCUUAUCUGUCCUUCUGUGUCUUCCCCGCCCUUGUCCUGUUCCUCAGUGAUCCCUGUCCUCUGUAGUCCUUCCUCUCCAUCUCCUUCACCCUCCUGUGCUUCUGCAUGUGUGGGUGGUUCCCUGCCCGGCACCCACCCUGCUCCUUCCACCUCCUCACCCUUCAGGCCAGUACCCGCUUUUGAGGACGCAUCCUGUCUCUUCCCUCGCUGUGGGGUACUAAGGCGCCUUUCUCCUUCUGGCUCUUUUUCUGUGGAAAAUGCAAAUUUUGGUGUCUUUAAAUCGUGUAUUCGCACCCUAAUUUCUGGUGGGCCAAUCUGUGUGCCUCCUUCGGUUGUGUCUCUCAAGGACAGUCUGGCGAUCCCGAUUUCCAGGCUCUGCAGUCCCUCGCCUUCACCCUCCCAGCUCAUUCCAGGAGUUGGCUGGGCCCUGGGCUUCCUCUGGGCCACUGCUGUCUCCUGUGCCUGCCCCUCCAGGGUCUUUCCGUGGAGCCUGGCUGCCCUGAGUCCCCCUUCCUGAGGGGUUCCCUCGCAAAGUCUAGGGUCGCCGAGCUCUGUGGGCAACUGCAUGCUCUGAGCAGGCAUCACUUCUCGAUCCUGUUCUGCCCUCUCCUCUCUCCUCCUGCCUGUGGCAGCCCCAGUGUCCUCGAGGCUAACACCCCAGGGCCCCAACUCUUCCAGGACCCCAGCACGGCCCACCCCACUCUGGGACCCCCUGCCUGGCUGUCCUGUCGAUGAAGGGUCCUGUCCUGAGCCUGUCCUGAAUCUCAGGUUGAGGAACUUCCGCCUCCUCUGGCUGCCCGGCCCUGCCUUCUGCUCUUGGCGCUCCACCGUGAGCUGGGCCUCUGUGUCUGUGCUUGUAGGGGACACGUCAUGUGCGUCCCUGGGCUCGUAGGCCUCUGAUGAGCUGUGUGACCUCUGGGGUCCUGGCCCCCGCUUGCUCUUUAUGGAUUGAAAUUUUGGCCAAGAGAGCCUCUCCCUCUGGGUCUGCCUGCUUCUCCCCACCCUGGGUUUGGAG